AACGAACGCUGGCGGCAUGCCUAACACAUGCAAGUCGAACGAGAUCUUCGGAUCUAGUGGCGCACGGGUGCGUAACGCGUGGGAAUCUGCCCCUUGCUUCGGAAUAACAGUGAGAAAUUACUGCUAAUACCGGAUGAUGUCUUCGGACCAAAGAUUUAUCGGCAAGGGAUGAGCCCGCGUAGGAUUAGGUAGUUGGUGGGGUAAUGGCCUACCAAGCCGACGAUCCUUAGCUGGUCUGAGAGGAUGAUCAGCCACACUGGGACUGAGACACGGCCCAGACUCCUACGGGAGGCAGCAGUGGGGAAUAUUGGACAAUGGGCGAAAGCCUGAUCCAGCAAUGCCGCGUGAGUGAUGAUGGCCUUAGGGUUGUAAAGCUCUUUUACCAGGGAUGAUAAUGACAGUACCUGGAGAAUAAGCUCCGGCUAACUCCGUG
rnacentral:rRNA from 1 species